CGGCAACAGCUCAAAUUUGAAAUCUGGCUCCCGCCCGAGUUGUAAUUUGCAGAGGAUGCUUCGGUGCAGUCCCCGGCCCAAGUCCCUUGGAACAGGGCGCCGCAGAGGGUGAGAGCCCCCCACGCGGCCGGGUGCCCGCUCCGGUGAAGCUCCUUCGAC
rnacentral:rRNA from 1 species